AGCCCGGCGCUCCCCAGCCGUACAGGUGGGGAGGAAGGGAGGGUACCUGCCCUGCGAGGAGCGGAGAGGAGGACCCGGGCUCCGCGGAAGUGCCGGGAGAAACUGGCGGAACAGGGCCUGCAGCUUGCCCUCCCUGCAGUCUGACUUUCCCCGUCCAGGGUGCUUCCCCUCCCCCAACCUGACCUCUAAGGUUGCUAUUCUGCUAAAAGCACACCUGUGACACUGUGAUCUUUCUAAUUGGUGGCAGGUUUAAGGUUGUCCUGUCUUCAGACGUAUAUGUCUUUCUUUCUUUCUUUGUUUUAAGCCUGUAACAGCUGUGACCGGACAAUAUUAUGUCUGAUGACAAUCUGUAAACUAGGAAUCGAAUGAUAGGUUUUAUACACCUCUUGAAAGUUUUACGGGAAGAAAGGAAUCCCUUAGACAACCGUGUACUUGUUUAUACAGUUCCCACGUGCAUGCUCUUUACGUGAUUCUUUACACCUGACAAACAGGUAUAUUUGCAUACCUUUAUGUUAUUAUACGUGCCAAUUGUUGUAAGGUGCAAGCCAUUUUUGACGGGUCUAAAAGCUUGCGUUCAGAAAAAAUAACGUGAAAUUAAUUAAGAAAUUAACUUUACGGUUUAAAAAUUAAAAUAUUUCAAUAAACUGUAGUAGAGAGGUUAAGUGAAAGAGCGUCCUAAAAGAGGCUCUACUGUGGUAUUAGCAUCAUGUAACACAUCUGUGUUAGCCCCUUCAACCAGUUGAUAGAAUAAUAUUUGGUAGGUGGUAAAAAUUAAAUUGAUACUUAGGACCAAUGCUUGACUAAAUGCUCUUUAAGGUAUAUAUCCAUUGUAACAACCAAAAAGAUUGCUGAAACGAAGUAACAUACUAAAUACUUAGUAAUAUGCCGUUUGUCUCUUAUGGACAGACAUCAGUAUUUAUUCCUUCCUGUGCAUAAUAUAUGCCUUUCAGUGUAUCUCUACAUAUGAAAAGAAAAAACAAGUAGCUUAUUUGGAUUACAAUAUCAGAACCAUAUAUGAAAUAGUUGCUUUUUAAUAUUUUACUUAAUAUUAAUCAAAUCAGUUCAUUUAAAUCCAUCUGGAUUUUAGUCUAAACACAGUUUAAACAAUUUCAUGAAUCAGUUAUGCCUCUGAAUGACUAGCUUUUACAGUUGCUCACACAGACAAUAAUGUAAACAUUGAGUAAUAGUGAAACUACUUAAAGUCUGUAGCUUUCAAUCACCAGAUGAAGAUUAAACUUUAGUUUCAGCCUUAAUUUAUGGCAUGCUAGUAAUUUUAUUAACUCCAUUAGUCUAAUCUGACCAUAAAACCCUAGCAUAACAUUUCAUAACUGCUGAAGGCUUUUGGAGUGUUUACCCAUUUUUUCUGUCCUCUUUCUGGUUUUAGGUGUAGGGGAGGAUUAUACUCUCCACCCCACUGAAAUUAGGUAUCAUGAUGUAAAUUUGCUUUAGUAAGUAAAUGUGAGCAGGCAUGAAAUGUUUCAUUUCCUGGUAGAAUCACUUAAGGGCCAGUGCUGGAUUUUCUAUGCUCUCUUCCCUUGCUGCUGCAAUCAUGGAAGUUUAUAUUAAGAUGGAGGUGGCACAGGACUGAAGGAUCCUGGCAUGCUGUACAAUCCUGAGCACAGCUGUCCUGGAGAACCCAGAACCUACAACAGAAUCUGCAUAAAGCAAGAAAUAAACUUGUGUUGGGGUCAGCUUUGAAGGUACUGGCUACCUAAACCUGCCUUGUCCCAAAGGACCCAUUUUAGUCUGGGGAGACUUUGAGGUUGUGGAUGUUUCCAGUUUCAUCCAAGGAAUAUGAAGGUCUGGGACGAAAACACAAAAAUUCAAAGAUGAUCAGAAAUUCAGAUGCAUUCUGGAGUGAGCUACGCUUGACCAAACAAAGAACAAAGUUGCUAUAAAAUCUAGUUAUUAAUAAUCCAUGUUCUCCUGUCGGAUCACAGAACCACUCAAGACACUCUGAAAACUGUACAAAACGGGAGUAAGUUGAAAUAGAUCCCUCCGUGUUCUUAUCAAAAGCCAUCCUGUGAAAGAUUUUCAGCUAAAUUAAUUAUACUAUGUAUUUUCCUCCACUUACAAGAAAAAAAAAAUCUAUCUGGGAACAUGAAAGGCAGCCAGACAAGGAAAAUAAAUCACAAAAUGUAUAUUUAGGAUACUGAUAUUAUGAUAGAAAACACUCACUAUCAAAGUCCAUCUCGUGUAUAGAGAUUAUCACACAUAUCAGGUAUGUUUUUUUAAAUUUCUUUGAACAUUAAUUAUUGGCUAUUUUAGCUAUUUCACCCUGGUGACUGAAAUAGAAGUGGAAAGAUGAUAGGAAAGCAGAAAAGGAUGGAGUUAUAAACUGUAUGUAUGUGAGUGUGUCAACUUUGAGUCUUUUUUUUAAGCUUAUUUAGUAAAUGGAAAAAAUACCUAUUUCAUUAACAGACUUAGCAGAAUGUCUAGCAUAUAGAGGGCACGCAGAAGCAGCUCUAGCCAUACUAGUCUAAGUCUGCAAUUAAAAAAGGUACUAGAAGGAGCUUUGCAAAUCACUGUUGACUGAAAUAAAAAAUUUUCUCCUGGGCUUAUAGUAUUAUCAGACAUCACAAGACAAGUAGGUAGAAGAUAAGACUACUUGAAUAAAGUGAUUUUCUUAUUCGGUAUGUUUUUAUAUGAUGACAUAUUUACAGGGAUAAUAAUAUAUAUUUUCUAGAUCUUUACAAUUUUUUGUUGUAAUAAAUAAAGUGGAUGACUUUGGUCAGAAAGGAACAAAUAUUCUCAUACAGAGAUCUAGGAAUGUUCUAAGUAAAAAAAGAGUUAUUUUUGGAAUGAAAAAACGUAAAAGUGGGUUAAGAUAUUCUUUCUGAGGAUGCUAAUGUACAAAUCAUUUUUAACAUCUUAAUUCUCUGAUACAUAGGAAAUAUUUAUUAUAAUCAGUGGCCUUUUCUUUGGAAUAUUACUAAAACAUAGUUUUACAUCUGGCAAAUGUAAGGCUACUUUUCUCUAUAUAUAUUUUGAUUUAAAUUAAGUGUUGCCUCAAUAGCUCUGGGCAUGAUUCUUACGCAUGUUAUAAAUUUUGCAAUCUGUUAAUGCAUAGAACAAGAUGAGCUAUUGCUAACACUACUAUUUCAACACCUAAGAGCUUCCUUCCAAUUCUUUCUGAAAUAUCUCACCUUUUUUUUUUUUCCCUAACGUUAGAGGAGGUUAAGGAAUUUACAAGUUGGUAGAACAUGGUAAUGGUAGUUUUGGAAUACGAUCCUUCCAUUUAAACUUUAAAGUCAAGUCAAUUCAGUGAAGCUAGUAAUUUUAUAAUUAUCAUAGUUUUAUUAGUGGGAGUUCAUAAUCCCAUAUCUGAAGAAAAAUUUAGAAAAUAAUUUUGUAAUUUUUAGCUUGUCCGUCAGUAAGAUGGUGAUAAAUUAGUAUGAUAUUCUAUGUUACAAGGUUUGAAUUAUGAAUAAAUAUUUUUUAAAAGUCUAACUGUAAUAGAUAGGGAUCAUACAAUGUUAAAUCUGAGAAAGACUUUAGAGAUUGUCCACUCAAGCCACCCAUUACAUUUAUUAGAAAACUGAGACAUAAAUAGGGCUGUCAGAUUUUGCAGGAUGCCCAGUUAAAUUUGAAUUUCAGAUAAACAAUAGAUAAUUUUUGGCAUAAGUAUGUCCUAUGCAAUAUUUAAUUAUACGAAAUAAUUAUUUGUUGUCCAUUUGAAAUUCCAAUUUAACUGGGUAUCCUGUGUUUUAUCCAGCAACCGUACCCACAGAAGUGUCAUAAUUCUUUUCUUUUUUUUCUUUUUUUUGGCCAUGCCACACAGCAUUCAGGAUCUUAGUUCCCUGACCAGGGAUUAAACCUGUGCCCCGUGCAGUGGAGUCCUAACCACUGGACCACCAGGGAAUUCUAUAAUUCUUUUCAAAGGGUAUACAGUUAACUAUACACUGAUGAAGGAUUAGAAUCUGAACAAUUAAGGGGUUUACAGAAAACUCUUACAAAGGAUUAAGUUCUAUAGUAGAAUGUUUUAGAAAAGCAAAAUAACCUUAUGUCAUAACCAUAAUUUUAUAGGAAACUGAAAACAAUCGUAUCAUUUAAAAUGGAAACCUUCUAAUCUAUUGACUCUAUCAAGUUCUAAAUUGCUUUAUUCUCUUAGAAUUUGAAAAGUGCUCACAUUUAAAAAUCAGAGUUUCUUUUUUUUAAUUUUCCGUAAGACAAGAGUAGCUCAACUGAUCCUCACUGUUAACCAGAACUGAAUACCACUUAUUCCUCUAAGCAUGCUUUCUGAAUUUGUCUAGUCAAUGAUUAAAGUAAUUUUUAAGUGUCAUGAAAGUUAUGAAAAACUAAGAAUUAGAAGAAUUUAGUAUCUUAUAGCUCUAGUCUGAUCUAAACUUGAUGUUUUAGAUUGUUAUCCCUUAUUUUAUAAUAUAUUUUUAUCAUCACAAGCUACCUUUAUUCAUUUUUGCGGGUAAUUUAUAACAAAUCCAAGACUUAAAUAACACUGACAUGCUGUAUAUUAACCAGCCUCAGCUACAGAGAGGUAGACAGGAGUGUCACAUGGGGGCUUCCUGGAAACUGAGGCAGGGCUCUUGAGUUGCCUUAGGUAGUGAGGGCAUGUGCCCCAAAGUUCUUACUUAGGCUUCUCCACUUCUCAUUGAGUAAAUUUAUCCUUUUCAUAUAGAUCUCUAAUCAUCUCACAUAAGUUUUCAAAAUUAUCAACAUAAAGUUGAUAAUAUCCUAUUUGUUUAGUCUUGAAAAAAACUAGUUAAGUUGCAUUUUUUUCAUUCCAGAUGGGUUUAUUUGUCUUCCCUCUUUUAUUCUUCUUAAUCUUGACAGAGGUAUGUCAGUUUUAUAAGACUUCUAAAAUAAUCAACUUUUGGCUUUGUUGA